GGAGAAGCAGGGGAUCGCAAGACCUUGCGCUUUUGGAGCGGCCGAUGCCUGAUUAGCUUGUUGGUGAGGUAAAAGCUCACCAAGGCUCCGAUCAGUAGCUGGUCUGAGAGGACGACCAGCCACACUGGGACUGAGACACGGCCCAGACUCCUACGGGAGGCAGCAGUGGGGAAUUUUGGACAAUGGGGGCAACCCUGAUCCAGCCAUGCCGCGUGAGUGAAGAAGGCCUUCGGGUUGUAAAGCUCUUUCAGCCGGAACGAAACGGUCACGGUCAAUACCCGUGACUACUGACGGUACCGGAAGAGGAAGCACCGGCUAACUACGUGCCAGCAGCCGCGGUAAUACGUAGGGUGCGAGCGUUAAUCGGAAUUACUGGGCGUAAAGCGUGCGCAGGCGGUUUUGUAAGUCAGAUGUGAAAUCCCCGGGCUUAACCUGGGAACUGCGUUUGAAACUACAAAGCUAG
rnacentral:rRNA from 1 species